rnacentral:rRNA from 1 species
UGGGGAAUAUUGCACAAUGGAGGGAACUCUGAUGCAGCGACGCCGCGUGAACGAAGAAGGCUUUCGAGUCGUAAAGUUCUUUUAUAUGGGAAGAUAAUGACGGUACCAUAAGAAGAAGCCCCGGCUAACUACGUGCCAGCAGCCGCGGUAAUACGUAGGGGGCUAGCGUUGUCCGGAAUCACUGGGCGUAAAGGGUUCGCAGGCGGAAAUGCAAGUCAGGUGUAAAAGGCAGUAGCUUAACUACUGUAAGCAUUUGAAACUGCAUAUCUUGAGAAGAGUAGAGGUAAGUGUAAUUUUUAGUGUAGCGGUUAAAUGCGUAGAUAUUAAAAAGAAUACCGGUGGCGAAGGCGACUUACUGGGCUCAUUCUGACGCUGAGGAACGAAAGCGUGGGUAGCAAACAGG